rnacentral:pre_miRNA from 1 species
GGUGCCAUCAAAUGGGUUGUGAAAUGUCUAAUAUUUAUACAGCAUAUCACAGCCACAUUUGAUGAGCAUCU